rnacentral:rRNA from 1 species
UACAGAGGUCUCGAGCGUUUAGGCGGAAUCACUGGGCUUAAAGCGUGUGUAGGCGGAUCGUUAAGUGCCUUGUGAAAUCCCACGGCUCAACCGUGGAACUGCUUGGCAUACUGGCGGUCUUGAGCAACCUAGGGGCGAGCGGAACAAAUGGUGGAGCGGUGAAAUUCGUAGAUAUUCGGAAGAACACCGGUGGCGAAGGCGGCAUCCUGGACCGGCAUUGACGCUGAGGAGCGAAAGCCAGGGGAGCAAACGGG